rnacentral:rRNA from 1 species
AUGUUCCAAGAGCUUGCACCACAUGACCCACACGACAAGUGUGGUCACCACUAUGCGAUCUGUCUUGACCUGAAGAACCAACAUUUUGAGGUGCUUGAUUCAAUCCGUUCAGAAGCUGAUGCAGACCUUACUACGCAUGCCGAAUUCUUCAUUAACAACCUCAAAGAGACAUGGAACCGUCACUACGAACAUUCAAAGGUCCAGAUCAGGCAUUUCCCGACUGAGUAUGUGGCGACUGCGAAGCAAGGGAACACAUAA